rnacentral:rRNA from 1 species
GACGAACGCUGGCGGCGUGCUUAACACAUGCAAGUCGAACGGAAAGGCCCUGCUUUUGUGGGGUGCUCGAGUGGCGAACGGGUGAGUAACACGUGAGUAACCUGCCCUUGACUUUGGGAUAACUUCAGGAAACUGGGGCUAAUACCGGAUAGGAGCUCCUGCUGCAUGGUGGGGGUUGGAAAGUUUCGGCGGUUGGGGAUGGACUCGCGGCUUAUCAGCUGGUUGGUGGGGUAGUGGCUUACCAAGGCUUUGACGGGUAGCCGGCCUGAGAGGGUGACCGGCCACAUUGGGACUGAGGUACGGCCCAGACUCCUACGGGCGGCAGCAGUGGGGAAUAUUGCACAAUGGGCGGAAGCCUGAUGCAGCAACGCCGCGUGCGGGAUGACGGCCUUCGGGUUGUAAACCGCUUUCGCCUGUGACGAAGCGUGAGUGACGGUAAUGGGUAAAGAAGCACCGGCUAACUACGUG